AUUGAACGCUGGCGGCAUGCUUUACACAUGCAAGUCGAACGGUAACAGGCCGCAAGGUGCUGACGAGUGGCGAACGGGUGAGUAAUGCAUCGGAACGUGCCCAGUCGUGGGGGAUAACUGCUCGAAAGAGUGGCUAAUACCGCAUACGAUCUAUGGUUGAAAGCGGGGGACCGUAAGGCCUCGCGCGAUUGGAGCGGCCGAUGUCCGAUUAGGUAGUUGGUGGGGUAAAGGCUCACCAAGCCAACGAUCUGUAGCUGGUCCGAGAGGACGACCAGCCACACUGGGACUGAGACACGGCCCAGACUCCUACGGGAGGCAGCAGUGGGGAAUUUUGGACAAUGGGCGCAAGCCUGAUCCAGCAAUGCCGCGUGCAGGAAGAAGGCCUUCGGGUUGUAAACUGCUUUUGUACGGAACGAAACGGCUCUGGUUAAUACCCGGGGCUAAUGACGGUACCGUAAGAAUAAGCACCGGCUAACUACGUG
rnacentral:rRNA from 1 species